rnacentral:lncRNA from 1 species
CGAGUUCAAUACUGAAAAGACUCUUAGAGUACUCUCUUUGAAGUUAGGAAAUAAUGACUGGAAUAUAAUAGUAUGCAAUUAGCAGCUUACUUCCUAUAUUUUUUUCUUCUUAGUGGAAGAGAGGCCAUGAUCAAUUUAGUAUCUUGUCCUAGAUCAGAGUAAAACUAUUAUGACACUUGAGAAUGGUAGAGUUGCAGCUGAAAUUCACUGAGG